rnacentral:rRNA from 1 species
GACGAACGCUGGCGGCGUGCAUAACACAUUCAAGUCGAACGGAGUUUAUGGAGAGCUUGCUUGAAGUUAACUUAGUGGCGGACGGGUGAGUAACGCGUGAGCAACCUGCCUUUGUGAGGGGGAUAACGACCGGAAACAGUCGCUAAUACCGCAUGAAGCAACGAAACCGCAUGAUUUUGUUGCCAAAGAUUUAUCGCACAAAGAUGGGCUCGCGUCUGAUUAGAUAGUUGGCAGGGUAACGGCCUACCAAGUCGACGAUCAGUAGCCGGACUGAGAGGUUGAACGGCCACAUUGGAACUGAGAAACGGUCCAGACUCCUACGGAGGCAGCAGUGGGGAAUAUUGGGCAAUGGGCGCAAGCCUGACCCAGCGACGCCGCGUGAGGGAGACGGUCUUCCGGGAUUGGUAAAACCUUUGUUGAUGGGAGAAACAUGACGGUACCCAUCGAGGAAGCCACGGCUAACUACGUG